UUGUCCCGGUUUGAGCUAAACUUCCUGGUUUGAGCUGAAACUUUCCUGUUUUCAGCUCAAACCAGGAAGUUCAGCUCAAACCGGGAC
rnacentral:pre_miRNA from 1 species